UUCCCCCCGCCCUUCCCCAUCACCAAUUGCCCCGCCCGCUGUCAUUUCUCUUUAGUGUUUGCCGAUGUUUGAGCCGUUUCUAGGGUCUCCCUGGAAAUCAGUGAUAGAGAAUGGCGCAAGUUAAAGUUCAGACUGCAGUAAACCUGUCUGGAUCUACCCUGGGAGCCACAGUACAAUCAACAACGGUUACUAGCGCAGGUCCUCUGGCUCUGCAGUCUUCCGUGAAUGGGUCAGUCCCAGCCUCAAAUACCAGCUGUGUUAGUCCUGCAACUGGUCUUGUGGAUUCUACUGGUUCUAUUCAUAACUCACCAGUUUCUUUCCAGGAUAACAUGGCAAACCCCAAAGAGAAAACCCCAAUGUGCCUGGUGAAUGAGUUAGCCCGUUUCAACAGAAUCCAGCCCCAGUACAAGCUCCUGAAUGAAAGAGGGCCUGCUCACGCCAAGAUCUUCACUGUACAGUUGACCUUAGGAGAUCAAAGCUGGGAAGCAGAAGGGAGUAGUAUUAAAAAGGCUCAACAUGCUGCUGCAGCCAAAGCACUGAGUGAGACUAAUCUCCCAAAACCAUGCCCACGGCCACCAAAAGCUAUCAUGAAUAAUAAUCCAGGUAGUAUAACACCAACUGUAGAGCUGAAUGGUCUUGCGAUGAAGCGAGGAGAACCUGCUAUCUAUAGGCCAUUGGAGCCAAAGCCAGUGCCCAACUACAGAGCCAACUAUAACUUCAAGGGCAUGUACAAUCAAAGGUACCAUUAUCCAACUCCCAAAUUAUUUUACGUUCAGUUGCUUGUGGGGAAUGCAGAAUUUAUUGGAGAAGGACGGACCCGUCAAGCUGCGAGACAUAAUGCUGCUAUGAAAGCUCUUCUAACUCUUCGUGAUGAGCCUAUUCCAGAGAAGACACCUCAGAGUGAAGAAAUUUCAAAUGAAGAGGAGGAAACCGAUAUCAACAAGUCUGAAAUCAGCUUGGUGUUUGAGAUUGCUUUGAAGCGCAACUUGCCUGUCAAUUUUGAGGUAACUAGAGAAAGUGGUCCUCCACACAUGAAGAGCUUUGUCACCCGUGUUGCAGUUGGCGAGUUUACAGCAGAAGGAGAAGGAAAUAGUAAAAAACUUUCCAAAAAACGAGCAGCCGUAACUGUCCUUCAAGAGCUAAAGAAACUUCCUCCCCUGCCAGUGAUUGAAAAACCGAAAACUCAUUAUAAAAAGCGACCCAAAUCUAUACUGAAGACGGGUCCAGAAUAUGGACAAGGUAUGAAUCCCAUCAGUCGAUUGGCCCAGAUACAACAAGCAAAGAAGGAGAAAGAACCAGAAUAUCUUCUGUUAUCUGAAAAAGGUCUGCCACGUCGCAGGGAGUUUGUAAUGCAGGUCAAGGUAGGCUCGGAGGUGACAACAGGAACAGGUCCUAACAAGAAAGUUGCAAAACGGAAUGCUGCAGAAGCCAUGUUGUUGCAGCUUGGCUACAAAGCAUCAAUCCCUACUCAAAGUCCAGAGGAAAAACCAGUUGAAAAGAGCUGGGAUGGGCGGAAGGUGACUUUUGCGGAUCAACCGAAUAGCACCCAAAAGGGAAUUCUACAUCUUUCCCCUGAUAUUUAUCAAGAAAUGGAAGCAAGUCGUAACAAGGCAGCUCCUGCAAUGAACUAUUUGACGUCUAAAGAAAUAAACCAUGGAUGUAGUUCAUUCUUCAGCGCUACCAGCAACACAGCAACCAUUGCAAGGGAACUUCUAUUGAAUGGGACAUCCCCAACUGCAGAAGCUAUAAGCUUGAAAGGAAAAGUACCUGCGUCCCCAUGUUCAGCAGUACAGCCCUCUCAACAGCUAGAGUACUUAGCCAGAAUCCAAGGUUUUCAGGGAUCAACAAUGGCCCACACCAUGGACAGCUCUUUGGCCUAGAGUAUCCCAAUUCACCACCCAAAAUAUAGGAGGAGAGUGUGGAGGUAACGAAGCUGUGAAAGAUGAUUAAAAAUAGAGGGUCAUUGGAACUGUGCCCAAUGGAUCUAACCACAGUAGGAUUUAUUGACACUUUGGCCGUGGUGCAAUGAAAGAACAAAGGAAUUGAGGAAGAACAAAUGCACUAACAGUCCAGGGCCAGCGACUGCUGAACAGCCUCCACUUGGAGAUCUCGUAGCUGAAGGUCCCUUCAGGGUGUAGAGGAGGUGCAAUACAGUGAUAUGCAGAACGGUAAAGAAUGUAUGACAUACCUGACACUUUCACCUGUG